CUUACCUACGGGGCGCAGCAGUGAGGAAUAUUGGUCAAUGGGCUUACGCCUGAACCAGCCAAGUCGCGUGAGGGAAGACUGCCCUAUGGGUUGUAAACCUCUUUUGUCAGGGAGCAACGCCGGCUACGUGUAGCCGGACUGAGAGUACCUGAAGAAAAAGCAUCGGCUAACUCCGUGCCAGCAGCCGCGGUAAUACGGAGGAUGCGAGCGUUAUCCGGAUUUAUUGGGUUUAAAGGGAGCGUAGAUGGGUUGUUAAGUCAGUUGUGAAAGUUUGCGGCUCAACCGUAGAAUUGCAUU
rnacentral:rRNA from 1 species